AAUCUGGCUUAUGGAGGGGGAUAACGACGGGAAACUGUCGCUAAUACCGCGUAGAGUCGAGAGACGAAAGUGCGGGACCGCAAGGCCGCAUGCCAUGAGAUGAGCCCAAGUGGGAUUAGGUAGUUGGUGGGGUAAAGGCCUACCAAGCCGACGAUCUCUAGCUGGUCUGAGAGGAUGACCAGCCACACCGGGACUGAGACACGGCCCGGACUCCUACGGGAGGCAGCAGUGGGGAAUAUUGCGCAAUGGGGGCAACCCUGACGCAGCCAUGCCGCGUGAAUGAAGAAGGCCUUAGGGUUGUAAAGUUCUUUCGGUAUUGAGGAAGGUUGUUGUGUUAAUAGCACGACAAAUUGACGUUAAAUACAGAAGAAGCACCGGCUAACUCCGUGCCAGCAGCCGCGGUAAUACGGAGGGUGCGAGCGUUAAUCGGAAUAACUGGGCGUAAAGGGCACGCAGGCGGACUUUUAAGUGAGGUGUGAAAUCCCCGGGCUUAACCUGGGAAUUGCAUUUCAGACUGGGAGUCUAGAGUACUUUAGGGAGGGGUAGAAUUCCACGUGUAGCGGUGAAAUGCGUAGAGAUGUGGAGGAAUACCGAAGGCGAAGGCAGCCCCUUGGGAAUGUACUGACGCUCAUGUGCGAAAGCGUGGGGAGCAAACAGGAUUAGAUACCCUGGUAGUCCACGCUGUAAACGCUGUCGAUUUGGGGAUUGGGCCUUGAGCUUGGUGCCCGAAGCUAACGUGAUAAAUCGACCGCCUGGGGAGUACGGCCGCAAGGUUAAAACUCAAAUGAAUUGACGGGGGCCCGCACAAGCGGUGGAGCAUGUGGUUUAAUUCGAUGCAACGCGAAGAACCUUACCUACUCUUGACAUCCAUGGAAUCCUGUAGAGAUACGGGAGUGCCUUCGGGAACCAUGAGACAGGUGCUGCAUGGCUGUCGUCAGCUCGUGU
rnacentral:rRNA from 1 species